UGACUAAGCGUACACGGUGGAUGCCUUGGCAGUCAGAGGCGAUGAAGGACGUAUUAACUUGCGAUAAGCCCAGAUUAGGCAGUAAAAGCCACUUGAGUCUGGGAUUUCCGAAUGGGGAAACCCACUUACAUAAGUAAGUAUCAUUAACUGAAUACAUAGGUUAAUGAGGCAAACCGGGGGGAACUGAAACAUCUAAGUACCCCGAGGAAGAGAAAUCAACCGAGAUUCCGGUAGUAGCGGCGAGCGAAACCGGAUUAGCCCUUAAGUUAGUUCAGCGUUAGGUGAAGGUUCUGGAAAGUACCGCGAUACAGGGUGAUAGCCCCGUAACCAACAACGCUUUAUUAGUGAAAUCGAGUAGGACGGGACACGUGAUAUCCUGUUUGAACAUGGGGGGACCAUCCUCCAAGGCUAAAUACUCCUGACUGACCGAUAGUGAACCAGUACCGUGAGGGAAAGGCGAAAAGAACCCCUGUGAGGGGAGUGAAAUAGAACCUGAAACCGUGUACGUACAAGCAGUAGGAGCAUACUUGUUAUGUGACUGCGUACCUUU
rnacentral:rRNA from 1 species